GAUGAAGAACGCAGCGAAAUGCGAUAAGUAAUGUGAAUUGCAGAAUUCAGUGAAUCAUCGAAUCUUUGAACGCACAUUGCGCCCGCCAGUAUUCUGGCGGGCAUGCCUGUUCGAGCGUCAUUUCAACCCUCAGGACCCUUUGGACCUGGUGUUGGGGCUCGGCCGCUACCCCGCGGCCGUCCCCGAAAGAUAGUGGCGGUCUCGCUGUAGCGUCCUCUGCGUAGUAAUUACACCUCGCACUGGAACGCGGCGCGGCCACGCCGUUAAACACCCCACUUCUCAAGGUUGUCCUCGGAUCAGGUAGGAAUACCCGCUGAACUUAAGCAUAUCAAUAGCGGAGGA
rnacentral:misc_RNA from 1 species